GAAAAAGGUGCUGUAUGGAGGGUGAGAAGCUCCACCGAGGUUCGGCGCGCAGCGCCACGAGGAGCAUAGCGACGAGCCCGGAGGGUGAGGCCGCAGGCCGAAUAAUCCUCCAUCCCCAGACU
rfam:Sedimenticola thiotaurini strain SIP-G1, complete genome.